UACAGAGGGUGCAAGCGUUGUUCGGAAUUAUUGGGCGUAAAGCGCGCGUAGGCGGCUUUGCAAGUCGGGUGUGAAAGCUCUCAGCUCAACUGAGGAAGUGCGCCCGAAACUGCAGAGCUUGAGUGCCGGAGAGGGUGGCGGAAUUCCCCAAGUAGAGGUGAAAUUCGUAGAUAUGGGGAGGAACACCGGUGGCGAAGGCGGUGCGCUGGGCAGUUGCUGACACUGAGGCGCGACAGCGUGGGGAGCAAACAGG
rnacentral:rRNA from 1 species